rnacentral:rRNA from 1 species
UACGUAGGUGGCAAGCGUUGUCCGGAAUUAUUGGGCGUAAAGCGCGCGCAGGCGGUCCUUUAAGUCUGAUGUGAAAGCCCACGGCUCAACCGUGGAGGGUCAUUGGAAACUGGGGGUCUUGAGUGCAGAAGAGGAAAGCGGAAUUCCACGUGUAGCGGUGAAAUGCGUAGAGAUGUGGAGGAACACCAGUGGCGAAGGCGGCUUUCUGGUCUGUAACUGACGCUGAGGCGCGAAAGCGUGGGGAGCAAACAGG